rnacentral:rRNA from 1 species
UACAGAGGGUGCGAGCGUUAAUCGGAAUUACUGGGCGUAAAGCGUGCGUAGACGGCUAUCUAAGUCGGGUGUGAAAGCCCCGGACUCAACCUGGGAAUUGCAUUCGAGACUGAAUAGCUAGGGUACGGUAGAAGGAAGUGGAAUUUCCGAUGUAGCGGUGAAAUGCGUAGAUAAUCGGAAGGAACAUCAGUGACGAAAGCGACUUCCUGGACCAGUACCGACGUCAGGCACGAAAGCGUGGAAAGCAAACAGG